ACAUCAUGUUGAAACACCAGUUACCAUAUGAUCACUUAAGUUAAGCAGCAUCAAGUCUGGUCAGUACCUACAUGGGUGAGUGCUUGGGAAUACCAGGUGCUGUAAG